UACGUAGGGGGCAAGCGUUGUCCGGAAUCAUUGGGCGUAAAGCGCGUGUAGGCGGCCCGGUAAGUCCGCUGUGAAAGUCGGGGGCUCAACCCUCGAAUGCCGGUGGAUACUGUCGGGCUAGAGUGCGGAAGAGGCGAGUGGAAUUCCUGGUGUAGCGGUGAAAUGCGCAGAUAUCAGGAGGAACACCAAUUGCGAAGGCAGGUCACUGGGCCGCAACUGACGCUGAGGAGCGAAAGCAUGGGGAGCGAACAGG
rnacentral:rRNA from 1 species